rnacentral:rRNA from 1 species
UGAGGGUAACAUUGUGCUUGCACAGAUGACGACCGGCGCACGGGUGCGUAACGCGUAUAGAACCUACCUUUUACAGAGGAAUAGCCUUUAGAAAUGAAGAUUAAUACCUUAUAGUAUUGUAGACUGGCAUCAGUUUAUAAUUAAAGAUUUAUCGGUAAAAGAUGGCUAUGCGUCCUAUUAGUUAGUUGGUAAGGUAACGGCUUACCAAGACAGCGAUAGGUAGGGGUCCUGAGAGGGAGAUCCCCCACACUGGUACUGAGACACGGACCAGACUCCUACGGGAGGCAGCAGUGAGGAAUAUUGGACAAUGGAGGAGACUCUGAUCCAGCCAUGCCGCGUGUAGGAAGAAUGCCCUAUGGGUUGUAAACUACUUUUAUACAGGAAGAAACACUGGUAUGUAUACCAGCUUGACGGUACUGUAAGAAUAAGGACCGGCUAACUCCGUGCCAGCAGCCGCGGUAAUACGGAGGGUCCGAGCGUUAUCCGGAAUCAUUGGGUUUAAAGGGUCCGCAGGCGGUCGAUUAAGUCAGAGGUGAAAUCCCAUAGCUCAACUAUGGAACUGCCUUUGAUACUGGUUGACCUUGAGUCAUAUGGAAGUAGAUAGAAUGUGUAGUGUAGCGGUGAAAUGCAUAGAUAUUACACAGAAUACCGAUUGCGAAGGCAGUCUACUACGUAUGUACUGACGCUGAGGGACGAAAGCGUGGGGAGCGAACAGGAUUAGAUACCCUGGUAGUCCACGCCGUAAACGAUGGAUACUAGUUGUUGGGAUUUAUCUCAGUGACUAAGCGAAAGUGAUAAGU